UCCGGGAUCCGAUCGAAACCAUCCGGCAGGGACGGGGAAACCACUUUUGGCCUGCAGGAUUCUUGUGCAGGUCUUCGGGGUGAAGCCGCACGCCGUCCUCUGAGCGGAUGGCAACUGCGGCCGGGUGUCUCCCAUCCGAAUCCGACAGCUAACCUCGCAGGCAUCGGGAGAGGUUAC
rnacentral:sRNA from 2 species